AGCUUUGCGCAGUGGCAGUAUCGUAGCCAAUGAGGUUUAUCCGAGGCGCGAUUAUUGCUAAUUGAAACUUGCAAGUUAUUAUGGAAUUGUGCCCUUGGACAAUAAUCAUAAAACUGCGGGCGAAGGAUGAACAGACAUAAGGAAGUGCUUUAGUCAAAAAGCA
ensembl:snRNA Rnu4-5 RNA, U4 small nuclear 5